rnacentral:rRNA from 1 species
UGGGGAAUUUUGGACAAUGGGGGCAACCCUGAUCCAGCCAUUCCGCGUGAGUGAAGAAGGCCUUCGGGUUGUAAAGCUCUUUUGUCCGGAACGAAACGGUGAGCGUGAAUAUCGCUCGCUACUGACGGUACCGGAAGAAUAAGCACCGGCUAACUACGUGCCAGCAGCCGCGGUAAUACGUAGGGUGCGAGCGUUAAUCGGAAUUACUGGGCGUAAAGCGUGCGCAGGCGGUUUUGUAAGCCAGAUGUGAAAUCCCCGGGCUUAACCUGGGAAUGGCAUUUGGGACUGCAAGGCUGGAGUUUGGCAGAGGAGACUGGAAUUCCCGGUGUAGCAGUGAAAUGCGUAGAUAUCGGGAGGAAUACCGAUGGCGAAGGCAGGUCUCUGGGCUAUAACUGACGCUCAUGCACGAAAGCGUGGGGAGCAAACAGGAUUAGAUACCCUGGUAGUCCACGCCCUAAACGAUGUCGACUGGUUGUUGGGGGUUUGACACUCUCAGUAACG